rnacentral:rRNA from 1 species
ACUCGAGUGGCGAACGGGUGAGUAACACGUGGGUGAUCUGCCCUGCACUUCGGGAUAAGCCUGGGAAACUGGGUCUAAUACCGGAUAGGACGAUGGUUUGGAUGCCAUUGUGGAAAGUUUUUUCGGUGUGGGAUGAGCUCGCGGCCUAUCAGCUUGUUGGUGGGGUAAUGGCCUACCAAGGCGUCGACGGGUAGCCGGCCUGAGAGGGUGUACGGCCACAUUGGGACUGAGAUACGGCCCAG